UNCCAUGUGUAGCGGUGAAAUGCGUAGAUAUAUGGAGGANCACCAGUGGCGAAGGCGGCUCUCUGNUCUGUCACUGACGCUGAGGCUCGAAAGCGUGGGUAGCGANCAGGAUUAGAUACCCUGGUAGUCCACGCCGUAAACGAUGAGUGCUAGGUGUUAGGCCCUUUCCGGGGCUUAGUGCCGGAGCUAACGCAAUAAGCACUCCGCCUGGGGAGUACGACCGCAAGGUUGAAACUCAAAGGAAUUGACGGGGGCCCGCACAAGCGGUGGAGCAUGUGGUUUAAUUCGAAGCAACGCGAAGANCCUUACCAGGUCUUGACAUCCCGAUGCUAUUCUUAGAGAUAGGAAGUUACUUCGGUACAUCGGAGACAGGUGGUGCAUGGUUGUCGUCAGCUCGUGUCGUGAGAUGUUGGGUUAAGUCCCGCAACGAGCGCAACCCUUAUUGUUAGUUGCCAUCAUUAAGUUGGGCACUCUAGCGAGACUGCCGGUAAUAAACCGGAGGAAGGUGGGGAUGACGUCAAAUCAUCAUGCCCCUUAUGACCUGGGCUACACACGUGCUACAAUGGUCGGUACAACGAGUUGCGAGCCGGUGACGGCAAGCUAAUCUCUGAAAGCCGAUCUCAGUUCGGAUUGGAGGCUGCAACUCGCCUCCAUGAAGUCGGAAUCGCUAGUAAUCGCGGAUCAGCACGCCGCGGUGAAUACGUUCCCGGGCCUUGUACACACCGCCCGUCACACCAC
rnacentral:rRNA from 1 species